UACAGAGGGUGCAAGCGUUGUUCGGAAUUAUUGGGCGUAAAGGGAGUGUAGGCGGCUUGUUAAGUCUUCUGUGAAAUCUACGGGCUCAGCCUGUAACGUGCAGAGGAAACUGGGGGACUUGAGUGUCGGAGAGGGUAGCGGAAUUCCCGGUGUAGAGGUGAAAUUCGUAGAGAUCGGGAGGAACACCAGUGGCGAAGGCGGCUACCUGGCUGACAACUGACGCUGAGACUCGAAAGCAUGGGGAGCAAACAGG
rnacentral:rRNA from 1 species